GGGCGUUUAGCGCAGUGGUAGCGCGUGUGCUUUGCAUGCCUGACCGGUUUGCACAAGGUCCAGGGUUCAAUCCCCUGAACGUCCA